rnacentral:rRNA from 1 species
GGCGAACGCUAGCGGCAGGCCUAAUACAUGCAAGCUGAACGGUAAAUGUUGUAGCAAUACGAUAUGAGAGUAGCGUAAGGGUGCGUAACACGUAUGCAAUCUACCCGCAACAGGAGGAUAGCUCCCCGAAAGGGGAAUUAAUACUCCAUAAUAUCAAGAGAGGGCAUCUGAUUGUGAUUAAACUCCAAGGGGUUGCGGAUGAGCAUGCGUCUGAUUAGUUAGUUGGUGAGGUAACGGCUCACCAAGACGAUGAUCAGUAGGGGAACUGAGAGGUUGAUCCCCCACACUGGCACUGAGAUACGGGCCAGACUCCUACGGGAGGCAGCAGUAGGGAAUAUUGGUCAAUGGGUGAGAGCCUGAACCAGCCAUGCCGCGUGCAGGAAGAAAGCCUUCUGGGUUGUAAACUGCUUUUGCCAGGGGAUAAAAUACCCAUGCGUGGGGAAUUGAAGGUACCUGGUGAAUAAGCCACGGCUAACUACGUGCCAGCCGCCGCGGUAA